UUUGCAAAACCCUAGAAAACUCUUCAGACCUUGAAUCCUAAUCCUAAUCUACUCUUCUUGGAUCGUCGCCACCCAAAAGUUGCCUGUAAAGAUUGUAUUCAUGGUAAGUUUCUGUAUCCGAUUCAAAGUUCUUGACAUUUGAUUUUGAUAUUGGUUCUGGAAGAGAGCCACCCCUCUUUUGUUUUACGCAUAAAUCCUCCAUUCUAUGUUUUGAUCUGAAGCUAACUCAAUCCACAAUCAAGGUUUCAAAGAAGAAAUUUAUGGUUUCCAUUUCCCCAUCGAAUUCAUCGUUUCAAAUCUCUAAACCUCUGAUUCGUUGAACCCUAAAUAGUUCCUUCAUUCGCCAAACCCCAAAUCCUUCAUUCGCGAAACCCUAAAUCGUUUCGAUUUCCCUAUCGCUGUGUCUCCUCUUCCUUUACCAGUGAACCCUAAAUCCAUCUCCCCAAACCCUCUCAUCUUCCCCAGCAAUAUUCUGUCAGUAGAUCUAAAUCUGAACAAAUAUUGUAACGACUUGAGGGUUGCCAUGCUAGCGGCUAUGGUUCAUAUUCGAUAGCAAUCGUUGAUUUGGGUGAUCUACGAUCUACUUGAAAAAUCAUCUGGUCAUUUGGAACUCAGAGAGGACCUAGAGCAGGGGAUAGUUGUAGCUGGGCUAAGAUGUAUCAAGAUCAACUCAGCUGAUAAGAUUCUUGAGCUUUUCAAUGUUGGGAACAGUAGGCGCAAAAUUGACAACACAGAUGCGAACGAGACAUCAUCACGGUCUCGUGAACUUUUGGAAAUAACUGUGCUUAGAAAACAGAAAAGGAAAUACCAUAGUCAAGUUAUUUGUGGUAAACUCGCACUUGUGGAUCUUGCUGGGAGGAUUGUUUUCGAAGCCCUAGAUAUGGCAUACAUCUUCCUUCUCAAUGAAGCCUCUUAAAUCUAAACAUUCAAGCAUCAGGUACAAACAUCUCAUAAGAAAAUCCGUUGCAGUUUGAAGGUCUAUUGUAAACUUCACAAACAUCUCAUACGAAGAUUUGUCAGGUACUUUCAUUUGUUUGGGUCUACUCCAUUCCAAUGGAUCGUUAUUGCGAUGUUUACACUUUACAUAUGUAGCAUCUGUUAUACUGCAGGAGAACUAUUGCAUUCUAUUCUAUUUAUAAAAUCUAAGUUUUGCAUGUAGAUUGGUAAUUUCAUUUUUUGUGCACUAUUAUCAUUUCUAAGUGUAACCAUUUUAGGCGAAAGCUGGGGCUGGUUCUGCAACAUUAUCAAUGACGUAUGCAGCAGUUAAGUUUGCAGAUCGCUGUCUCAAGGGCUUAAAAGGAGAUGCUGACAUUAUGGAGUGUGCUUUUAUAGAAUCUCGGGUUUGGUUUGGAAGAAGUUAAAAAAGAGUUGGCAGGAAGCAUUGAGAAAGGAGUUUGUACCUUAAAUAGAUGUAUCAGAAUACCUAUUUAUACAUGUGCAGGAACUAGAUGGAACCAAAAAUGAGCGGGGUUGGUGCAAGCAAAAGCUUGGCGCAAAUGCCAUUCUGGCGGUGUCUCUUACAGCUGCAAAGCGGGAGCGAGUGUCAAAAACAUUCCUCUUUACAAGACAUAUGAACUGUUGAAAAAAGGUCAGAAGACGCUUUAGAUAUAUUAUAUUGGGUUUUUUAAAAAGCUGAAAACUUGAGGAGAAAAUGGAAGUUGUAAAUGAACAAGAUUCUCAUCAUCCACUCCAUCCUGUUCGUGCUUCAACUCCUUAACAUAUAAACAGAUACACGGAGUUCACCAGCGGGAUUUGAUAAUGAAGUUUUAAAUGUUGAAUUUGAGAAAAUGGCUAAAGCUUUUGUGGUUGGAGUUUCCACAUAUUCACAAUCUUUGCCUCUUACGGUACUAUAUUGUUAAGAUAUUAUCUUUUAUGAAUAAAAAGUCAUAGAAAUCCUUCAAAGUCUUGGGCUUGAUGCUUGUAGAGGAGGUGAUCUAUCAAAAGUCAUAGAAUCCUUCAAAGUCAUGGACUUGAUGCACUAUCUAAACAAAAUCAAUAAGGGGAUACUUAUCUAUAUGUUGCUGCAGAGAAUGGGCAUGUUUAUGUAGGGAGCUUUUCGAACACGCUUUCUAUCUUUGAUAAUGGAAUUUUCUUCAAAAUGAACUCGACUUGAAUAGAUGAUGCUUAGGGACCGUGGUUGGUCAUGCAAGGCGUGAGGAAAAAAGCUUGUUUGUUUGGCAUUGAUAUAGGCUGAUCAACAGUUCGGUUAUAGAAAUGGCUUUUUUGACACAUGUGCAUAUGACAUCCAUCACUUUCAAAGCAUGACUUACAACCAGUUCUGCAUAAGAGCAUAGUACCAAAUCUUACUGGCCAGUCGGAGCGGAAAGUAGCUACACAAGUAGCCCAGUCAAGUACUCUUGAACCGCCUUCAUUUGGGCCAGUCGGUUCUGUGCUGGUUAUUGAACCGACGAACCGGAUUGAUGCAUUGCUGUGGCGUACGAACGACCACACCCAUGAAAGGAAGUCCCGGAUCUGGUGGUGACGCGACUAGGGUUCCGUCGUUGGAGCUGUGACUGUGGCGUACGAACGGGUAUUCAGGUCAACGGUGGUGGUUGUGGCAGCAAGAACAAAACAUAUUGUAUUGGACUUUGCUUCUGUUGCGGGUAAAAAAUGCACUUACGACGCCCUAUGAUUGAACCAGAAAGUUUGUUGGAGGGUAUUGACAACCUAUCAAAGUCAAAGACAAAGCACACAUGAAUCGGUUGAAAAGAAGGUGAAAGUCGGUUACAAGUGGGAUUGAAAGUUUUGUGUAUAUAUAUAUAUAUCUAUUAUAUAUAUGCACCCUGCGUAAAAGCCUUGAUGGGGGGAACUCGAAGUAAUUCUGAAUAUUCUUAUUUUUGUGAUCAAUAAUGCUAUACAUCAUUGCCGGUAUUUGUGGGUUUACUAUUGUGAUUGAAAAUACCAGUUUUUAACUGUCUCCAGUUGGAAACAUACCAUAUUGAUAGGCAGGCUCCUGAAGACCCAAUACCCGACUCGACGCCUGACCCACGACCCGACCCGACCGGAGUCACAUGGGAAGCACAUGGUUCAAUUGGAUUUAGUCAAUUUCUGUCAACAUUUGAUCACAAGCAGUACCCACGUUUUCUACAUAUCAAUCAAGAGUUAUUUUAUUUCCAUGUCAAUUUUAAUCUCUUUCUUAUUUUCGUUUAUUUUGAAUUAGUCUAGAACAGUUAUUUAUGUUUCCCUAAAUGUAGCUACGUGGGUGGUUGUAUCCCCUUUCUUCCAUAUGUAUUGAACAAUUCAUGAAUGAGAAGGGCAGUGAGUUUUAGAAUGAAAAUCUUUGUGUUAAUUAUCUCAUGUUUGUGGGUUAAUUAAUUCGUCUAUGCUAGCUCAACCGUG
rnacentral:lncRNA from 1 species